AUGAAUCUCAUAAGUUGGAACUGCCAGGGAUGGGGGAAUUCCCGGACAGUUCGUGAAAUUGCGACUUUAUCUCAAUCGCAUUCCCCCAAGUUUGUGUUUUUAUGUGAAACAAGGCAAAAGGAGAGUAAGAUGAGGAGGCUGCGUGGUCGGUUGGGCUUGAAGGGCUUCAAAGGGGUUGAUAGUAAUGGAAUGAGUGGGGGAUUAGCCUUUUAUUGGCAUGAGUCCUGCCUUGUGGAGAUCUUAGGCAAAGAGGACAGAUAUAUUGAUGCUCUGGUUAGAAUGUAUGAGGGUGGAGAACAGAAUCACAUGUGUGUAUGGAGAACCAAGGACUGA
rnacentral:rRNA from 1 species